rnacentral:rRNA from 1 species
UGGGGAAUAUUGGACAAUGGGCGCAAGCCUGAUCCAGCCAUGCCGCGUGAGUGAUGAAGGCCCUAGGGUUGUAAAGCUCUUUCACCGGUGAAGAUAAUGACGGUAACCGGAGAAGAAGCCCCGGCUAACUUCGUGCCAGCAGCCGCGGUAAUACGAAGGGGGCUAGCGUUGUUCGGAAUUACUGGGCGUAAAGCGCACGUAGGCGGAUAUUUAAGUCAGGGGUGAAAUCCCAGAGCUCAACUCUGGAACUGCCUUUGAUACUGGGUAUCUCGAGUAUGGAAGAGGUGAGUGGAAUUCCGAGUGUAGAGGUGAAAUUCGUAGAUAUUCGGAGGAACACCAGUGGCGAAGGCGGCUCACUGGUCCAUUACUGACGCUGAGGUGCGAAAGCGUGGGGAGCAAACAGG